GACGAACGCUGGCGGCGUGCUUAACACAUGCAAGUCGAACGGAGCGAAUGAAAGCUUGCUUUUAUGAGCUUAGUGGCAAACGGGUGAGUAACACGUAGACAACCUGCCGACAGGAUGGGGACAACAUUCCGAAAGGAAUGCUAAUACCGAAUGAAGCGGAGGAGAGGCAUCUCUCUUCCGUGAAAGAUGGCCUCUAUUUAUAAGCUAUCACCUGUCGAUGGGUCUGCGUCUGAUUAGCUGGUUGGUGAGGUAACGGCUCACCAAGGCGACGAUCAGUAGCCGGUCUGAGAGGAUGAACGGCCACAUUGGGACUGAGACACGGCCCAGACUCCUACGGGAGGCAGCAGUGGGGAAUCUUCCGCAAUGGGCGCAAGCCUGACGGAGCAACGCCGCGUGAGUGAAGAAGGUCUUCGGAUCGUAAAGCUCUGUUGACGGGGACGAACGUGCGAAGGGUGAAUAAUCCUUUG
rnacentral:rRNA from 1 species